AAUCUCAACAGCGCACCGUUUUCUUCCGCCACAAAACUCUCUCCCCGCGCUGCUGUUCCGAUCUCAAGUCAAAAUGCCCAAAAAUGCUUUCUGAUUGGUUGCUUCGGAAAUGUGGUGCACUUGGAGGAACUCGGAAAAAUGGCUUUCAUGUUGCAUUCGUUCACUUUUUGGUCAUAAAACAACUACUGAUUGCACUCAACAUGCGUAAAAUGCGCACUACGCUAUGGCUAAAAUGAUCGAUCAUAUUCCUGGUUUUAUUUGGAAGUAAAUAUAAAACAAAAUCAAUAUAAAAACACUACUUUUACAAAGUUUGAAGUCUCUACUGUCCAACAGAAAUGAAAUGCACACUUCUCAUGGCGUCUUUUUUUUAUACAGAAGUCUUUUAAAUGCAUGACGUCAUGCCCGCCACAGGGCGGGCGUCGACCUCAAAAGGUUAAGGAGUGAUUUUACUC